GCGGCCGUGAUGGAACUGGCAGUCAUGCUGGGUUUAGGUCCCAGUGGGGGUUUCCCCCGUGUGGGUUCGAGUCCCACCGGCCGCA
rnacentral:tRNA from 1 species